GUAACGAACACCCCAAUCUGGCCGAUUGAGAAACCAGGAAGGAAGGAAGUCAGACUGACAAACGACCUGAGGAGACUGAACGAAAUUGUUGAAGAUAUAGACACAGACAUUCCAAACCCCUACAUCCUACGGUAUAGACUGAA